rfam:Candidatus Nitrososphaera gargensis Ga9.2, complete genome.
ACCAGAAUCGUACAGUCCGGUCCAGUAUGGGGGACUGUCACUCCUCCGACCCGGGUUCGAAUCCCGGCCCGGGCG